UUUGGGGCUGUGUCCGCGUUUGUGGCUUCACAGCCAACAGGGAAAGUUAUACACAGCUUGUGAUGUUUAGAGGACACGAAAUAAAACCACUGCAGUCUCUUCUUCGCACCCUUUUAUGCAAAUGACGACGAAGGCAGAACCAAAAGAGGGGGUUGUUGGGGAUCUCUGGUGAGGAAGGGAAAGACGAGAGACAACGAGCCAGAAUCAGAAGAGCUGCGUCCUCCUCACAGACGAUGAGGACAAAGGCAGAGACGACUCAGCCGUACGUCUGCUGCUGCCGCGAGCCGGUUCACACCGGUGAACAGGAAGGAUGCAGGGAUAGAAUGACACUGCUGUGGGAUUUCAAGGAGGAACAUUGUGAGCGCACUUCACCUCAGUCCGCCCUGCCAGGCAAGGACGGACAAAGCAACGUCAGCAAACAAGGUUGAUGUGCCCUGCGAAUAUGGUGAUCAGCAGUAUGAUGGUGAAGCCGGUCAGCAGGCCUGCGUUCUGGAUCAGGAAGAAGACGAUCUUGGCGGAAGUUUCUUUCUGGUCUCGGGCGAUGCUGUCCAUCUCGGGAAACUGUGAUAAGAGAGUGACACAGUUGACACCUUCAACGUGCAAUAUGAAUAUGAACCGGUCCGAUUGUUCAACGGGCCAAAUAAAUGGGAAGUAAGAAUAUACGAACAGGAAGUGAGCAUAGGUUUGUUUGUUUUAAUAUUGUUUUGAUUCAAAAUGAACCUGGAGAAAAGACCACAGGUCGACAUCGUCAGUGCCUGAGCUUUAGCAUGUAAAAAAAAUUUUAAUUGGCCAAAUGGGAGUAAAAAAUUAAGCACACAGCAGCACAGUUAAACUCAGCCAUACACAAACAUACAGUAAGCUCUCCCAAACCAAACAUGCGUAAAUCAGUAUGUGGAUUUAUGAUCAUAAGCAGGACCAGGUUGUUUUAAGAUUAGUAAAUAGAAAUGCCCUAAAGACAUGAAAAGAGGUGAUGGAAGGGGGGAAGGAUAACAAAAAAAAAAAUCUUAUCUCUGCUCUUGCUCAUUCCUUUCGAAGCCCCUUUGCUCACAAAAUAAAACUUUAAGUGUGAAA